CCGGAACUUCCGGUAGCGCCGUAAGAAGGAAAAUCAGGGAAUUCGAUGCACCUGUGCCUAGUUAGGGACAGCGGUUGGUGAUUGGAGGAUACGCUGGACAAGGCAGUACUUAAGGCCAAGUUAUUUCACAGUCUGGGAGCUCUUUCUGGCUGGAAUUGUAUGAUUGUGAAGACAUCGCGAACCUUAAAGGUUGAGAAGUGAACGGAUUAUACGGCGAACUGAGACGACGUGAAAAAGGGGAUUGGAAGCGGCAUUGAUGUGAGUACUAAGAGCCAGUCGAAAGUGCCCUGUAUAUUGACCUGGCGUUGUGUAGAUCUCUCCAGGAGGAGGAGGGCGGCCCUACCCCUAAUAUAGCGUGGUGGGAGAGCCGAAGGAAUACUUAUUGAAGUAGUCACAACGACGACAUCACUAGCUAGGCCGCAUAUUCCAUCGCCAGAUCCGAACCAAGCGAAGUGAAGGAAGACGGGUGUCCUUUUCGUACACUGAGUGUGGUGGGUGAGUCUUCGUGCUGUGAAAACCUAUAAUUUUGACGUGGUGUUGUAUAUUGCUGUGGGCUGCUGUGUAUUGCCGUGUGUCCUGUCAGAUAAACCCCCGCCUUCACGCACUUCGUCGCGGGAGGACAAGGAGACUGCUGGUCCUAGCCUAGUUCAGUACAGUAUAUGUUGUGAGCGUGCUUCAGAUCUCCGGAGAUAGCAUGGUACGCUGUGUCCAGCCCAGAGGUGAAAGCCAUCCAAAGCAGAGUAACUGUGCUUUGUGUCCAAGUUGAUACCUGUGGAGAGGAAAGGAAAGAGAGAGUGAGUAACACAAGGAGAACCAGAGGGAACCUGUACUUACAGUACGCUGUGUCCAGCCCAGAGGUGAAAGCCAUCCAAAGCAGAGUAACUGUGCUUUGUGUCCAAGUUGAUACCUGUGGAGAGGAAAGGAAAGAGAGAGUGAGUAACACAAGGAGAACCAGAGGGAACCUGUACUUACAGUACGCUGUGUUCAGCCCAGAGGUGAGAGCCAUUCAAAGCAAACUAACUGUGCUAUUGUGCCUAAGUUGAUACCUGUGGAGAGAAAAGGAGAGAGAGUGGGUAACACGAGGAGAGACCGAGGAAAACUGUACUUACGCCGCUACCUGUGGAGAAAGAGAAAGCGAGUGAGCACCCAAGGAACGAACUGUGUGAACCAGUACUUACCGUGAGCUGUAUUCAGCGAAGAGGAGGAAGAAGGAGGGCGCUACGGAUACCUAAGACUCAGGCCGGGGCCCGAGUCCCACGCCCCGGAUCCCCGUGGCCCCCUUUCUCCCUGACCUCUUCCCGGCCAUAGCCCAUCUGGAGGGCCGAGUCAGAGUUUAGUUUUAAUUGCCCUUUCCCUAUUCCCCAAGCUAUUUUUAAAUAUUUAAAUAAAGAUUGUUUUAUCAUUUAUUUGUUCUCGUGUUGUUUGGCCAUUGGGUUGGCUUUGGGGACCUCCUCGAGGUGGAAGUUGAGAAGGGGUGUGGCUUAGUCAAAGCAUAGCCAGCCCCUGGGUGUGACAUUUACA
ensembl:lncRNA